CUUGUGGUGAGGAGUCUAGGUUCUGAGGACCUCGCCGCCCAGCCGCCCUCACUCUUCAAUCCUCGUGGAGUCCGGACACCCCCGUCCGCCCACCAGGACCGGGCUCCGCCUAUGAGGGACAAGUGGGGGCGUUUAACAGAGUGAGUGUGCUGCAGGACUGCCAGAACCCUGCAGAUGAGACUCCUUGAUUUUCUUUUCUGCUGAGGAACACGGAGAUAAAUUAUCUGUACGGACCACAAAAGCCUCAUCAUGCUGUUGGCCAUUCUUCUCACCAUAAAAAGAGAGCCCCCUGGACAUUAAAGCCACACUGAAGAAAGCAGAGCCAGGGCAUGGAGGUACACAGGACCCUAACACCAUCAUUUGAGCACGUGAAUUUAGCUUUUCCAAAAGCCAGUGGACUUCCUAGUUACUGAACCAACAAAUUUCCCUUUUUUAACUUAAGCUACUGUCUCACCUGAGGGGGAUUUCAGCCCUGGGCAAUUUCAGUGU